AGAGCCACUGGUCCCACUGGCAGGUCACUGCACCCUGUAUUCCAGAUAACUCCUUCCUGCAACCAUACCAUCCAUCUCUGCUAGGCGGGAAGACAGCCUGCACACACAGUGCUCAGACAGACUCCUACAUACACCCACAAGCAUGUUCCUUUAUUUGGAGCUGAAUUCCAUUCCCAGUUUACCAGAGGUCAGCUCUUGCCUAAGAAGAGCUGAAUGGCACAUCUCUGCAGAACCCAGGUCAUGGAGGACCUACUGACAGGAAAUUAACCAUCACUUCAAUGCAAGCUUGUCAGUGGAGGUAGGCAGCGCUUUUCCAUGAGAAACAUGACUCAUGCCAACAAAUGCCUGGGGAAGUAUCUCCACCUUGUAAGCUUCAAAAUACAUUCUACCAUCCAGUUAAUUUGUGGCAGAAAUGUGGAAGUCUGCUGAGCUGGGCACAGAGAUUUGGCAAUGGUUGCAUUGUUGUUAAAUAUGAGCAACAUGUGACACUAACAGCAAAAUAAUUUUUGAUACAAAAUGCAUGCAAAUUGCAAUAAACUACAAUAAAGAUAUGAAAGGAAA